GAUGAACGCUGGCGGCGUGCCUAAUACAUGCAAGUCGAGCGAACGGACGAGGAGCUUGCUUCUCUGACGUUAGCGGCGGACGGGUGAGUAACACGUGGAUAACCUACCUAUAAGACUGGGAUAACUUCGGGAAACCGGAGCUAAUACCGGAUAAUAUUUUGAACCGCAUGGUUCAAAAGUGAAAGACGGUCUUGCUGUCACUUAUAGAUGGAUCCGCGCCGCAUUAGCUAGUUGGUAAGGUAACGGCUUACCAAGGCAACGAUGCGUAGCCGACCUGAGAGGGUGAUCGGCCACACUGGAACUGAGACACGGUCCAGACUCCUACGGGAGGCAGCAGUAGGGAAUCUUCCGCAAUGGGCGAAAGCCUGACGGAGCAACGCCGCGUGAGUGAUGAAGGUCUUCGGAUCGUAAAACUCUGUUAUUAGGGAAGAACAAAUGUGUAAGUAACUAUGCACGUCUUGACGGUACCUAAUCAGAAAGCCACGGCUAACUACGUG
rnacentral:rRNA from 1 species